AUGGAACAAUGUAGGCAAGGGAAGUCGGCAAAACGGAUCCGUAACUUCGGGAAAAGGAUUGGCUCGGAGGACUGGGCUCGGGGGUCCCGGCCCCGAACCCGUCGGCUGUCGGCGGAUUGCUCGAGCUGCUCACGCGGCGAGAGCGGGUCGCCGCGUGCCGGCCGGGGGACGGACCGGUAAUCGCCCCUUCGGGGGCUUUCCCCGAGCAUGAAACAGUCGACUCAGAACUGGUACGGACAAGGGGAAUCCGACUGUUUAAUUCAAACAAAGCAUUGCGAUGGUCCUCGCGGAUGCUGA
rnacentral:rRNA from 1 species